rnacentral:rRNA from 1 species
UACGUAGGGUGCAAGCGUUAAUCGGAAUUACUGGGCGUAAAGCGUGCGCAGGCGGUUUUGUAAGUCUGUCGUGAAAUCCCCGGGCUCAACCUGGGAAUUGCGAUGGAGACUGCAAGGCUAGAAUCUGGCAGAGGGGGGUAGAAUUCCACGUGUAGCAGUGAAAUGCGUAGAGAUGUGGAGGAACACCGAUGCGAAGGCAGCCCCCUGGGGUCAAG